GCUCACGUCAGCAGAACAUAUACAAAAAUUGAAGCUACAUAGAGAAGAUCAGCACGGCCCCUGAAUAAUGCUAACACACACAUUUUUGAAUCAUUCCAUAUUUUC